rnacentral:rRNA from 1 species
GUGGGGAAUUUUGGACAAUGGGCGCAAGCCUGAUCCAGCAAUGCCGCGUGCAGGAAGAAGGCCUUCGGGUUGUAAACUGCUUUUGUACGGAACGAAACGGUCCGGGUUAAUACCCUGGGCUAAUGACGGUGCCGUAAGAAUAAGCACCGGCUAACUACGUGCCAGCAGCCGCGGUAAUACGUAGGGUGCAAGCGUUAAUCGGAAUUACUGGGCGUAAAGCGUGCGCAGGCGGGUUUGUAAGACAGGCGUGAAAUCCCCGGGCUCAACCUGGGAAUUGCGCUUGUGACUGCAAGGCUGGAGUGCGGCAGAGGGGGAUGGAAUUCCGCGUGUAGCAGUGAAAUGCGUAGAUAUGCGGAGGAACACCGAUGGCGAAGGCAAUCCCCUGGGCCUGCACUGACGCUCAUGCACGAAAGCGUGGGGAGCAAACAGGAUUAGAUACCCCUGUAGUCC